rnacentral:rRNA from 1 species
AGCGAACGCUGGCGGCAGGCCUAACACAUGCAAGUCGAACGGAUCCUUCGGGAUUAGUGGCAGACGGGUGAGUAACACGUGGGAACGUGCCUUUUGGUUCGGAACAACUCAGGGAAACUUGAGCUAAUACCGGAUGUGCCCUUCGGGGGAAAGGAUUUAUCGCCAUUAGAGCGGCCCGCGUCUGAUUAGCUAGUUGGUGAGGUAAAGGCUCACCAAGGCUUCGAUCAGUAGCUGGCUGAGAGGAUGAUCAGCCACACUGGGACUGAGACACGGCCCAGACUCCUACGGGAGGCAGCAGUGGGGAAUCUUGCGCAAUGGGCGAAAGCCUGACGCAGCCAUGCCGCGUGAAUGAUGAAGGUCUUAGGAUUAGUAAAAUUCUUUCAGCGGGGACGAUAAUGACGGUACCCGCAGAAGAACGCCCCGGCUAACUU